GAUGAACGCUGGCGGCGUGCCUAAUACAUGCAAGUCGAGCGAACGGACGAGAAGCUUGCUUCUCUGAUGUUAGCGGCGGACGGGUAAGUAACACGUGGAUAACCUACCUAUAAGACUGGGAUAACUUCGGGAAACCGUAGCUAAUACCGGAUAAUAUUUUGAACCGCAUGGUUCAAAAGUGAAAGACGGUCUUGCUGUCACUUAUAGAUGGAUCCGCGCUGCAUUAGCUAGUUGGUAAGGUAACGGCUUACCAAGGCAACGAUGCAUAGCCGACCUGAGAGGGUGAUCGGCCACACUGGAACUGAGACACGGUCCAGACUCCUACGGGAGGCAGCAGUAGGGAAUCUUCCGCAAUGGGCGAAAGCCUGACGGAGCAACGCCGCGUGAGUGAUGAAGGUCUUCGGAUCGUAAAACUCUGUUAUUAGGGAAGAACAUAUGUGUAAGUAACUGUGCACAUCUUGACGGUACCUAAUCAGAAAGCCACGGCUAACUACGUG
rnacentral:rRNA from 1 species